ensembl:lncRNA
AACAGCUUAAGAAAAAAAAAAAAAAGAGAAAUGAAGUAACAAUAUUAAUUGUGUCCACACGGACCUUUUUGAAUGUGACACCUGAAGUGAGAGUUGGACGUGAGAUGCACGUAGGUUGUACUGUGCGUGUCAGUAAAUUAAUAAAGCGUUGCCCAAUUGGGCUGUUAUAAAGUUAUUCUGUAGUCCUUUUAUGCGAAUAGGAGCAGAAUAAAACAGCUACUAUUGGAAAUGAUCAGCCCCCCUCCUUCAAACCCCACACCCUUGUUAGAGGGUUGCAUUUGUGAAAGUGAAAGUUAGCGCCCGCAACUUUUACCCACGACGCAUGUUUCGUGGAUUUAAGGAGUCGAAAGGGAAAAUCCUAUGCAUUCUUUAAAUUAAAACUGGGAUAUUACAGCUCUUGAUGCACGGAAUUACUUAUCGGAUAUGAUUCAAAAAUGCGUUUGGAUCUUGCUGCCUUGCGCGCAUUCUGCAGCAUUAUACAGAUGAUCUCCCUGACGACGUCUUUUCUCAUUUCAGUCACCUGCUUUUUACCAAGAAAACACAGAGGAAAGGACUCAGAUGUCAUGUUGUACACUCCAAAUUUAGAUAUUAUUGCAAAAGAACAAGGCUGCGAGUGCUUCUUCAUGAAGUGCUUCCUCAUGGAGCUACAGGUCUACCAGGCAGAAAAUGAGCUGGACUUCAAUACAACAAAAGACUACCUUAAACACAUAAAACAGGAUAUCAGAACCUGUUCACCAUGUGAGGCUCAACCUGCUGCCAAUAUUUCCACAUUCUUUACAAGUCUGAGUGAGACCUUGGAUCGCUAUAGUUCGGAGAACACUGAGUGCUUUGACUGACUCAAAGACUGCGCUUUAGUAACCAAAGGGAUUCUUGCUGAGUAUCUUCUGUGGUUAAAAUAAGCUAUAUUGUGAUACAAGUUGUUUAUUGGCAAUUCUAUAUGUAUAUGUGUAUUUGUAAUAGAUAGAUGGAUACUUUAUUAAUCCCGAGGGAAAUUUAGGUCAUCCAGUAGCUUAUACACUUAACUUAACUGUGUGUGAGGAUAGCGCAAAGUGAUAUAAAUAGUGAAGUCUGUGCAAGGGGCUAGUAUAGCCAGUAAAAGGAUGGACAGUGGGAUGGAAUAUAAUGAGAUGAGAAGAGGAGGGCAGACUGAGGUAGACUCAUGCAGAGAAGUCCAUCUCCCUGCCCCUCCCCUUCUGCAUGGCGUUAUAAAGCUGUAUGGCCCUGGGGACAAAGGACUUCCUCAGCCUGUCCGAUGAGCAUGACAGUGACAGGAGUCUGCCACUGAAUAUGCUCAUCUGUCCGUUGAGAGUUAUGUGUAGUGGGUGGUGGACAUUGUCCAAGAUGGUCAGCAACCUACUCAGGGUCCUUCUCUCCGCCACUGUUGUGAGACACUCUAGUUCAGUGCCAACAACAGCUAAUGAUACUUUGAAUGUAAAGACCACUAUGUUACAAGGCAUGGAAAGUCGCCUUACUCACUUAUCAAGGGUGCCUGCCUCUGAAGGGCCUCAGACAUGGGUGUGUUUGCCUUCUGUUUCUGUCAUGGAACUGAGAUAGCACUGGCGGGGAUGCACUGUAUUCAGAUCUAUUAGAGUAAAAUGAUGUCUGGGAAACUAGACUGCACUAUCUAGUACAUGUAUGUAUGUCUAUGUAAGUAUUUACGCAUAUGUGUGUGCUGCAUGAUUGAAACAAACUUUUAAGUGUGAGUGUCCGACAGAUACAGGAAGGAAGCCAUAGUUCACAAGGAGAGGUACUGUUGAGUAAGAACUGCUUCCACUUUCAGUGUACUGACUUGCUACAAUACUUUCACUUUCUAUAUUAAAUGUAGCAAUGACAAUGGCUUCGGUAUACAGUGUGAAGAAUCUGUCUGUAACAGCAGUUACAGCCAAAAGCCUAAACCAUAAGUUUGUUUUAAUCAUGCGUGUAGGCUUAAGGGGAACCAAUUAGUAGGUGCAGGGGACUCAUGAUCCCUAGUCUCAGGGAGCCAACACUACUGAGCUUGCUUAAUGGGGAGCUGGCCAGUUCAGUCCCCCAUAAAAAAACAACCCUACCCUACAAUUGCUCGCACCACUCCCUGAAAAAACAUCUCCGCUGUGGAGCUGCAAUCUGAGUUAUGAGAGACUGGCAAAGCGGAGGCGUCUAGACCCGGGACUCCAACAUUCGGCCCGCCCUCCUGGCGCUGCUGGCAUGACUGCAGAUGUCCUCACUGUCCUUAAGUCUCAGAACAUGCAAUGAACGCAGGAAGUCCAAGUGGCGCUCGGCUAGAAAAAGGAUCGGAGGCGUUCCAGAACCUCUCCCUGGACCUCCAGCUGUUCCUCUGCGCCCCACAACUCCCAGGGGUCCACAACUGUCACUUUUUUUUUGGUCCUGUUUUGAUGGAUCAUGGAACAGUUUGGUUGGUCAGUUCUCUCUUCCUUUCAGGGCCCCUCAAAUGCUACCGCUUUUAUAUCUCUGUGUCAGAGCCAAAUGUAUUUUAUUCUUUUCUUAAAUAAUGAUAUUCCUUUCUUUUUCGAAACAGCCACCUGUCUUUGUAGUUCAUUCAUUCAUUCAUUCAUUCAGUCAGCCAUCCAUUCAUUCAUUUGCUUGUGUCACAGUAUGUAUGCACUCUUGUGACCUGUGAGACCACUGAAGCCAACAGUAAAGUACACAAAACUAUUUACCAAACAAGUAUGAGUUUGAAUACUUGAUGCCUGAAUAAGAGAUGUUUCAGCAGCUUUUAUGGUAAAAAAAAAAAACAAUGUGAAAAAGUGCCAUUAUGGUGAAGCCACUGCAUCAGGCAAAACAAACGUACACCAACUUUGAAGCUUUGGGACCUUAUAAAGAAGACUAGUUUGGUUGUAGACAUAUAUGUGUGUAUGAAGUUAAAACUCCACUGUAAAACACUUUGAAGCUGUUUAAAAGUUAAUGGGCCUAUUUUGAAGGUGAAAACAGCCUAUUCUGCCCGGUCGAGUUGUCUAAACUCCAGCGAUAAACGAAACUUUUCUCCCCCGAGGCGUGGAUUUUGGAUAUAGGUGACAAGUUCUUCGUUGAUAGGUGUGACGGUAUGCAUGCCGACCGUCACGGCAGCGUUGCGCUGCCUCCAUUUACGGACAAUGUACAAGUGCAAAUGUUUGCCUCUGUGUGUUUUAUGUGUGUUUUCCGUGCCCGUAUGCAGUUUUUAUAUGUUUGGUAACCAUGUCAUUCAUCAUACACACCGUGAAUUAUAUUAGCGCAUUUGUCAACCAUUACACCUCUACAGUUUAAAUACAUCCUUACCCAUCGUUUUUUUCUGUUAUAAUAACCACACCAUACAAUGUCUUGACUCUUAAAUGUUCCGUUUAUUUAGUUUAAAAUCAUACAUCACAAUGUCAUAUUUCAUAGCAUUUGUCUUACGGUCAGUGUCUCGUCUUGUAUUUGUUUGUUCGUGUAAAGACGGUCUGCGCCUUAACGCAGAUUUAAAAAGACACUAACUUCUAUUAGGAAUUAAGUUUGGUAGCUGUUUAAGCCUAAUGGUUUUGCCUGCCGGAAACACCCCUGUAUAUUGCUGUAUAGGGGCCUGUGCAGGCACUAUUUAGGCUGGGCUCUUUAGUCUUCCCAGAGGGCUGCUGAUGGGUGGACGUAAGUCCUAGAGCUGUGUGAAUUUGCCUUUGACCUGUGAAUAUGCUUAUACUAGUCGACUGCUUAUUUGAUUCAUUGUUUUGACUAUCAUGUCAACUUUAUUUUUUGUAUUGUAAAGUAUUUUUUUGUUGUUAGUAUUUUCCUUGUUUUUACUGCCUUUUUGGCCAUCAUUGGGAAAAAUAAAGAUUCCCAUCAUCUAACCUAAACCUCCUAAGUACUCCUGAGAGUUUCUCCAUCUAGAGUUUCUCAACCGCUUUGAACACAUCUACCCUUAACAAUAGGUAACAUUUUAAUGCGCCAAUCACAAACCAUCACUACCCAAGCCUGAUUUAUCUAUCUGGCAAAUACUAUUUUCCCUUUAUUGGAAUAGUGGGGCAUUAUGCCUACAUAUUUUUGUUUUGGCAAGGAAGCGGGCUUCGGUUAAUGUACUUACUCUAUCUUGAAUGUCCCUGUACACAUAUCCUGGCAGGCUUUAAAAAAAUUAUUAAAUGUUUGUUUAAGGUCAAACACCUUGAAAGCGCCUGGUAAGUCAGCAGUAAACGAAUGUCAUACAUGAUGUAAAUAAUGACAUUUCAUGUUAUUUCUAUUCAAGUUUCAAGUUAGUCAUGUAGUAAAAAGGGCAUUUAUCAGUAAUGAAAUAUUCACAUACAACUCCACUUCAGACCACUUCAAAAUGAUCAGUUUCUCUAGUUUUACUAUUUAUUGGUAUGUGUUUGAGUAAAAUUAAAAAAAUGUUGUUUCAUUCUAUAAACUACUGACAACAUUUAUCCCAAAUUUUACAAACAAAUUAUUUGCAGAAAAUGGCAACUGGUCAAAAUAACAAAAAAGAUGUUUUCAGAAUCUAAGAAGAGUUCAGAAAUUUGGUGGAAUUACCUUGAUUUUCAAUCACAGCCUUCGUGUGUCUUGGCAUGCUCUCCAGCAGUCUUUCACAUUGCCGUUGUGUGACUUAAUGCCACUCCUGGUGCAAAAAUUCAAGCAGCUAGGCUUUGUUUGAUGGCUUGUGACCAUCCAUCUGGUGGUCUUUCAUCCACACCUUCACUGACCUGGCUGUGUGGCAUGUAGCAUUGUCCUGCUGGAAACACCACUCCUCAGAGUUGGGGAACAUUGUCAAAGCAGAAGGAAGCAAGAUUUCUUCCAGGACAACUUUGUGAUUCAAUGGGUCAUUCACAAAGACAAAUCUGCCCAAUUCCAGCCUUGCUGAAGAACCCCCAGAUCACCACCGAUCCUCCACCAAAUUUCACAGUAGGUGCUUGACACUGGCUUGUAGGCCUCUCCAGGUCUCCGUCUAGCCAUUAGAUUACCAGGUGUUGGGCAAAGCUGAACAUUUGACUCAUCGGAGAAGAUGACCUUACUCCAGUCCUCUAUGGUCCAAUCCUUAUGGUCUUUU